GCAGACAUAGUUUAAUAAAACAUUAGAUUGUGAAUCUAACAAUAAAAGUUUAAAUCUUUUUGUCUACC
rnacentral:tRNA from 1 species